UGAGGAAUAUUGGUCAAUGGGCGCAAGCCUGAACCAGCCAUCCCGCGUGAAGGAUGAAGGUCCUAUGGAUUGUAAACUUCUUUUAUACACCAAGAAAAACUCGAACGUGUUCGAGCCCGACGGUAGUGUAUGAAUAAGCAUCGGCUAACUCCGUGCCAGCAGCCGCGGUAAUACGGAGGAUGCAAGCGUUAUCCGGAUUCAUUGGGUUUAAAGGGUGCGUAGGCGGCUUUUUAAGUCAGUGGUGAAAUCCUGCCGCUUAACGGUAGAAUUGCCAUUGAUACUGAAAAGCUUGAGUACAAUUGAGGUAAGCGGAAUGUGUAGUGUAGCGGUGAAAUGCUUAGAUAUUACACAGAACACCAAUUGCGAAGGCAGCUUACUAAACUGUUACUGACGCUGAUGCACGAAAGCGUGGGGAGCGAACA
rnacentral:rRNA from 1 species